GUAGCUGACAUUUUUUACUAGAAUGUUCAAGGUGGCAAUGACAAAUAAAGAUUGUCAUUAUUAAUUAUUUGUGUUUCAAAAAUAGAUUCAGGACUCUUUUCUAUAGCAGAUACUUAUAUGCAGCUUUUUAGUUGAUUCACCCUAAGAAGAGCCAAUGCUCAAACUUGCGCCCAUGUACACACACUGGACACAAAGACUUACUUCCAUAGACACACAGUCAACAGAACAAAAGAUGUAGUGAGAACAUCUGCUUGUCUAAGACACUCCUCUCUCUUCAUCCUCCUCCUCUUUAUCAUCCUCUCCAUCUCAUCUAUUAAGAUUCAGUUCAGUGCCGGGCUCGUCUCCAUGAGUAGUUUAGCCAUGCACGUCAUGGCGAAAUCCAGUGAAUGAUAAUGAACUGGACAAAGUACAUGUGAGAUAGUUUUAGUGUGUGAAUGCACAGGGAAGAAAAGGUGGCACAGUGUUGAAUCACUCCUUCCAUCUGCAGCAUCCAUCUAUCCAUCCAUCCAUCCAGCCACCCAUCCAGCCAUCCAGUCCUCCUUUACUUCACCACCUCCUCCUCAUUGUUGGUGUGUCGGCUGGAGGGACAGCCCCCGUGCUCUGACAUACUCACACGCACAGACACACACCUCCGCGAUGUGUCACUACCCAUUCCACCUGCCUCUUCCCGUCAUUCCCCGCUUGCUGCUCCAUCUACCCACACUUGCUACAUCCCUCCCUUGAUUUUUUUCUCCUUUGCUCUUAUUCAUUAAUUUCCCUGUUGCGCUCUUGGUCCUUCCUUUCACUCCUCCAUGUCCUUAUCCCCCCACACCAUGUGUCAUCGCUGCCGAGAAGAAAGAAACAUACUCCGGUCGACAAGUGAAAAAGACGAAAGAGAAAACCAAGCCAAAAAAGAGAAGAUAGUAAAGUCUGGAGCGUGUGUGGAGCACAGCGAUGCCUGCGUCCGCAAAGAGCUAGUCUUCUUUGAUGGAAUAUCCCAAACAGCGGAGGGAAGAAGGAGGGAGAAGAAGAAAGAAAAGAAGAGGAGAAGAUUAACAGGGCUGAGAAAACAGGACAGGCAGUGAUUGCCUCAAGAGGCUUCAUUCAGUCCAGCCCAGUUGUCCUCACACAUACAAACACACCUCGCUGUGGAGUGUGCACGUGUGUGGGCACUUGCCACAAGUGGAUGUGUGAGUGUGAGGAUUCAGACGGUCAUACCGAUGCAGCAGCAGCUCACACUCUGAGGUCCACGUGGAUACGGAUUGUCAGAUAAACCAUGCCCUUCACAUGUGCGUGCUUCUGUGGUCUGAAUGGCUUCUGCCGCAGAAGAAAGAAGAAAAAAGGGGACCAAGUGUCAGAGGAGGGGGUUGACGAAGAUGAGGAAACAGUGGUGUGACAGCAGUGCUGUCAGCUGAACUCUGCAAUUUAAAACACUGUAAAAUAUGGCCCAGGUUACAGAAUUUUCGUACAGUGGGGUUGAAGGGAUGUAUCAAAAACACACAAUGAGAUGGUCAUUUUUAAGUAUUUUUCAGUUGUUUCAUGAAAAAGGUUUCUGGUUCUACUUUAAUUUUUAGUUUCUACUUACCACAAGCCCAUCCAAAACCAUUCUUCUAAAGAUGAAUAAAACUGGAGAAAAUAAAAGCCUAUGAGCCUGUUGCUCAGCCUCCCUUACCUAAACCUGCUAUACUCUAACCUUCCCUGUUCAGAUCAGUGGGAACUUUGAUUUGGCUGAUGAUUUUCAAAAGAUUUAAAAAAAAAUCGGCUGAUUCAUUUCUUGCAAGUGUGUGAAGAGACAAAGGUCUAUCAAAAUCCAUUACUCUGUUCAGCCAUACCUCUCAGGGAUGCCCCAUCUUUUCCUUCUCAAACUUAAUUGAUUCUCCUGAGUGGAGGCUGGAUUGGAACCAAAGCUCGGUGGAGCUUUGCACCUACUCACCUGCUUACUUAUAUCAGAUUGACUUAGUGAAAACUUGGUGAGAAAGUGUAAAGCAAUUUUUAGAGUCGCCCACAGAGGGGACUGAGCCCAUCUCAGAUUUUCACGCUGUGCUGACCUCGAUCCAAAGCCAAGCAGCUGUCCAAUCAGUGGCUUAGCUGGAGUGUGAAGAUGGAAGUCAAGGGUCACAAAGAAAAACGAAGCUUGCAAAACAUCACUCCUCUGAUGCUGCGGCUUCUCCGUGUCACUAAUAUCCGGACAAGUAAUUACCGAGAGGAACACCUUCCAAUGCAGAUCCUUCAAUUAAUGUCCAUCCCUAUGGAAUGGACAUUAAUUCCUUCCCUUCCUCCAAAUACCACCACAAGGCACUUCCAUUUGUCACCUGUUAGAGGGCACAGCUACGCAAGCAUGCAGAGUGCUCAUGUUUCUUCUUGGCUGUAAUAAUAGACUUUCAAAGCAGAAACAAGUGGUUGAAAUAUCUUCAGCCGCCAUGAUGGAGGCUUUCCUGCGAGCACCCGGACGCACAAAGACAAAGGCUCGUGUACAGGUCUCAUUGGCAUACAUGAUUAUGCAUUGCACGUCCAGUCAGGCAGUGGAGAUGUAAUUAACCUUUUCCACCAGGAAACAGAUGCCUGGAUGUCACACACACACACACACACACAUCUGCUGUCAGGGAAACAAAGCCAACGUCAUGGUGUCACGGAAACAAAGCCCCAAAUGUGCAGCCUGGCACUCUCUGAUAAUCCCCUCACACAUAUUUACAUUCAGGGCUUAGAAUAUGCCUCAGUGACACUGUCUCCACCCCCUUCCUCUGUUAAGACCCACCAACCCAAGUCCCACCUUUGCCGUUCUUUAUUAUCCCAGUCUUACCUUUUGGCCUUCUGUAUCAAACCCAUCCACCCACUAUCUCUCCAAACCCUCACCCUAUCACUUUUCAUCCCUGCUAUCUUCCUCUUUUACAUCAUCUCUCCUUAAACUUUCUCCUUGGUCGGAUUCAUCCAUUUAUUAUCAGUGGAUGGUACAUGGCCCUGCAUGGCAGCUCCCGUAGAUUAGCCCCCACUCUCGCUUUCCCGUAUCAGGGAUUUCUUCAGGCGGGUAAGAAGAAAAGAAAGAAGCUUCUUUACGACAGAUUAAUGGACGGCCCUGAUUGUGUCUGUUGGUGUGGCUAUGCGCCUGAGCUCAAUCGACUGUUUACUCAUUCUCCCGCUACGAGCAGUGAAAUGAAACAAAGCUAAAGCUAUUUCACAGUGUAGAGCACCUAUUAUGAUUCAGUGUGUUACGGCACAGCCCUAAUGAGAAAGAGAGAAAAUGAGAGGAGGAGUUGAAGGAGGAGAGGAAGAGACAGUAAUGAGAGCGAGUUGGAUUUAGAAGAGGGGGGCUAAUGUUAGAGCAGUCAUGCUAAUUGGCUACAGUGGAUAACUUUCUUCAGUCUGAAUGAAUGUGUGUGUUUGUGUGUGCUUGUAUGGGGUAGUUAAAAGAACAGCCUUAUCUGUCUGCAUUGCUCUCAUUUAACACUCCCUCCAUUUCACCUCUUUAAUGAGAGGAAUAUUCGCUGUGGUAAUGGCCAAGAACUUGGAAUUGAUGGCAAUUUGUUGCUCACACAUGCACGCUCAGAGGCAGCGUUGGACAUGUGUUUUCUUUUGUGAUUGGCAGCCCAGCCCCUUUAUGGAUCACGACAAUUUUCAAGAAUUGUAACUCAAGGACAAAUGGCUAAAAAUAGAUGCACGACUCCUGCGGUAGCUGUGAGGGAGGAGGAGAGUACAUGGGGGACCGCGAAAACGACUCCUGUCGCAUUAGAUUUGGGUCAAAGGCAAGGGAAAAGCCGGCGAUGCAGAGAGUGUUGCAGACGGCUGGGAGAUUCAUCGCUUGCCGCUCAAUGCACCUCUCUUCUUUUAACACCUCGCCUUUCUCCCUCACACAGCUGCAGCAUACACAGUGGAGGACAGGCAAAGAGACAGCAAGUGUGAGACGAGGAGUUAAUGGCAAAGGCAUUGUAAAACAUUGAAAAUAAUAAUGAAAGGAAGCAAGGAAAACAGCUGUACCAGGCUAGACAAGGAGGAUAAAAAAGUAGGUGAGUAUUGUAAAAUACAUGCUUAGAUAAUGCAGUGAUUUAUGUUUUUAGUAUUUAAUGAAAUAAACCUAUUGCCACAGGUAGUUCAAGAGUUGCAUCAGAGGUCCUAGAAUAAACAUCCCCAAAAAAAUCCCCUUAUGUUAGAAAAACAUAUUUGCCAUUAUGUCUAGAAGUAAAAUUUUCCUCAAUCAACAAGUUAGAAGUGAAGAGAACAAAGGCAGCAAAAACCCAACCGGCCUCUACAUGUGGGCCCUUUAUAUAAAUGGGUUGUAUAAGGGGCACCAUGAAGGAUUGAAGGAAAACAAAAAUGAAAACGCAAAUCCUAUUUUGGUCCGAACUAUAAGUUUUAUGUGGACAUUUUGAAGAAUAUGUGGGAAGCCUGUUUAAAAGCUGCAGUAGGGAGUUCUGAGAAAAUUAUAGCUUGUUUAUGCAAUCUUAAGGUUAAAUGACAGUACUCACUGAGCGGGGGAGGGGUGUGAGCAGUGCGUACACUAACAUGACUUACACUGCUAACAACCAAUCAGACAUUCCUCCUGGCUCUGAUUGGUUGUUUCUGACCCGGAGCAGUGUACUUCUGCAAAUGGCAGUAGGCACAGUGGGAGGAGCCAGAAGAGCUUUUUUGUCUGUCUCACAUUUUACUGCCACAAUUUUACUGCCCACUUAGUGACAGCUAUUUUUUUGUUUUUGUUUUUUUACAAAUGUUACCUCAGCAGCUUUAAGCAAGGAGAUCAUAAGCUGAGAAAGUGGAAAUCCAGUGAAUAAUAUAUGUGGAACCCAUUUGAGUUGGAAAGAUAUGGUAAAAAAAAGCCACCUUUUGUGGUUCUCUCCACAAAUUCCAUAAUAACCUGGCAGUAUGUGCCCACUGAUGUUUAAUGUAGAUCAGGUAUGGGCUCUAAGUAGGUUUCAUGUUUUUUUUAAGUAUUACAAAAUAAAAUGUUUUUUCACCAAUAUAGUUUGGAUGUACAAUGAUUCGGGGCAGUUAGUGGACCGCAGCUGAAAAGGAUAAACACUUGUGUGUCCAAAUUUUAACUUAUUUGUUGAGAAUCAUAUGGUGUGUCAUUCCCAAUAAUAAAAUACUUUUCUUCUCUGUCUCACAAAAUUACCUUAAAUAUUAUAUUCUGUUAAUUAUAGUGCCUUAGUUGUUUGUUUAAAUGAAUAAUUUAGAACCUGUAAUGCUGAAAAAAGUUAACUAUUUCUUCACCUUCCAUCAGCAAAUUUUCAAAACAACUUUAUUUUCAGGUUUUCAUUUUGUUGUUUUUUUGCUCUUGCUAAAUUAGGCUAGGUCAGAGCAGGAUUAGGGCUAUCCAUAAUUCUACCAUCCUAACACCUAAUGCCACAAAUACCUUUAGAGUUAUAUCAGAGGCAUCCUCAGUAAAAAUGUAACCAAUUUAAAAACAAGCAUUCAUGUCAAACAGUUACAUUCACCCCUAGUAUUACGUUGAAGACAUUACUUUAAUUUGCCAAACAGAUCCGAAACAAAUGCAGCGAGAACCCAUACCCAUAAACAUUUACAUGUGGGAUUUGAUUUGUUGUGCGUUUUAAAAUCUGCUCUUUGGGGAAUUUCCCACAGAUGCAACAAUAGCAUAGCACUAUUUUCCUAAAGUUUUGGAAGUGCCCUGAGACUGCAAGGUAGGGUGAUGUGAAGACAUAAGUUGGCCUUACCUGGAAAAAAUAAAUAAAACAAAUAUUAAACAAAACCUCAAUCAACUAGUUCCUUUGUUAAAAUAUCCCUCAUCUUAAUUGCUAAACUAAAAUAUCCAACUCUGGUGAUGAUAUUGCUGUGCUGACUGAAAUGAAGUUGUUAAAUGUAUAGUUUAGACAUUUUUUCUCAAAUGUCACCACUUUUCAUAUAAUCACUUAUAAACCUUUAAUAUGCUGUCACAUUUGCAAUGGCCAAUUAUGUACUUUGAAGACUCUGUAUUUAAACAAAAGACUGUGCUAGGGGGCAAUCCAUGAUACAGCCCUUCCCAAGGGAAACAUACUACAAACAGGAACACAUUCGGUGCAUAUGAGAGACACCAUCUGGAGGAAAGUGGUGUAGAAAAAUAAUUAAAACUGCAUUAGUAUAAACAGAUUUAUUAUUAGAGUUUUUUUACAUAACACUAUAAAAUAUUAUUCUGCCUGCAAUUACUUGACAUUCUGUUCUGCCAUAGAUGUUCUACAGACCAAUUCAGUCCUCCUGUUAAAUUAACUGCAAAUUUAAUUUAUUUUUGAGGUUUUAUUUUUAAAAGAAGCAUUAGUUCCUUGUUGGAGUUGUUUAAACAAUGGUAGAAGUUUACUUGGAUCUUGACCCAGCUCAGAUAAGCAUGGGUUUAUCAGCCUCUUAUAGAAAAAAAACUAUCUGAACUUGUGCAAAAUAAAGAUAUCACAGUUUUAGAUGGCAUGUAUUAAAUACAAUAAAAUCCCUGGGGGGGGGGGGGGGGGGGGGGGGGGGGGCAGGACAUGCGUUUUGUUGAUCCAUCUAUAUUAAGAAACUUUGAGUCAGAUGAAACAAGCAGAACCACGUGAAAUAAGUCAGAAAAUCAAAGCUGCUACCACUGGUUUUCAAACUAAGAUCUAAAACCUGCCCUGAUCACAACCAGUGCAUCAUGGUCUAAUUUUUUUCUUACUUUAUCAGAAUAAACAUCUUACUUUAAGUUCUUAAGUUUAGAAUAGAAAGAAUUAUACAUAUCUUUUAUUGUCCCUCAGUGGGGAAAUUCAGGUGUAUCAGCAGCAAAGCAACAGGCAAGCCAUAGCCUGCAGAUAUACACAAAGGUAAAAUAUAAAAAAGAAAGAGUAAGAGACUAUACAAUAAGGGCAAAUUUAAAACAUAAGUAAAAUACAGUACAGUUAUUAAAAACAACAUUCUCAAGGUCAAAUAAAUUUUUUUUUGACUAGUUACAUUUUAAACAGUACAAGAUGUGCAUGUGUAGCGGUCGUGAAACAGGAAGUCAGAACCACAUCGGGAUUAGGAUUCAGGAUAAUUUUAUUCCUGUUCAAAACAAGAACAUUUUAAACACAGCAGCUCCUGGGCUCCGGAUUCUCCACAAACACCCUCUCCCCAGCGCAGCUUAGCACGAACUGACAGAAAUACAUUAAACAAAACAAAAAAUUUCUGACAUACAAAGCAAUUAAAAUAAAACAAUUACAAUUUUCCACCAUAACAUAGAAGUAUACCAAAUACAUCAAUUUAACAUCCGAACAAAAUCUGAAACAACACACAUACCUGUUCAAAACAAGAACAUUUUAAACACAGCAGCUCCUGGGCUCCGGAUUCUCCACAAACACCCUAACCAACCAAAAGGAAGAGAAAAAAAAUAUAUAACCACGUUGAUACAAAAACUUGAUGGGUGUUACCAAUGUGGGAGACAAAUGCCCAGCAUAGUGUUGCACUAAACAUGAAUACAUAUAUAUAUGAGUUUACAACAUAUUUUUAGAAUGUUUUCAAUAUUUUAAUCACUCAAAUGAAAGACAACUCUGUACACUUACCUCUCCCCAGCCGCAGCUUAGUGCCAACUGAGGAGGUUAGCGGGAACACACAGGAUAUAACGCACAACAGGAAGUAAGAAAAUAAAAGCUUCCCCUCCAAAACAAAAUACAAUUUAAAAAAAAGGAAAACAAAUAUUCAUAGAUGAGGAUGGCUUUUUACACUCUAGGGACCAAAAAUGAAAGCAAGAUAAAACAGAAAUAAUAUGUUACAGACAUGUCAAUUCAAAGAAAAUUUGUUUUGAGAAGGUUCAUGAAGAAAAAUAAAAUAAAUAAAUAAAAUUAACUCUGCUACAUACUCACCCCUGAACUUCUCAAAACCGUCCCAACAUUAAUCAAGAUUGGACACAGAAUAACAUUCUUGCCAACCAACAGACAACGACCACACAUACUUGAGCAACAUUAAAGGUCUUCCUCUAGAAAAGGAAAAGCAGCAUUGGAAAAUUGGCCAGACUCAACAAUGCCUGCUUGCUAAAAGAUUGUGCCAUAAACACAAUCUCACAGUCAGUGGCUGUUACUCUCCCAUACAGUUUAGCUAAUGGGCGUUGACUUAUUUACAGAGGUGUAAUACUACCAUACUCUAUUCACAAACAAAAAUUGUUUACUCCUACAAAAAUAAACUUCUUGCAAAUGCAGACUGCA